rnacentral:rRNA from 1 species
AGCCAAAUGAGACAGAUGGCAGUACAUACGCCCGCAGAAGUGUGUACAUGUGGUCUACUGAAUUCAAAAAAAUGCAUUCCAGACUUGAAAUCAAGAAGGGAUUGCUAGGUAUCAGUGGAACUGAUUAAAAUUAAGGGCAUUCUGCCCCUGAUAAUGUGUGGUCGGUUAUGAAAACUGCUGCACAUACCCCUAUUCCAUCCUUGGUGUUGUAUUCGGUCCCAUAAACCGUCAGCGCAGGCGCCUCCCGACAACGACUUGCUGCACAUAGGGCUCAGGUUGUUGGGGACUCCAAGUGGGUCUUCCCUGAUGUAGCCACUCGGGUACAGGAACAAUACACCUUCAAGGCAAUAAAUAAUAAUUUGUCAUAGAUACGCAUAGUCAGACUUCAUAUUCCAGGUACUGUUUUCAAUGGUUAGUACAUACUAGCCUUUGAUGUUCCUACAUAAUAAAGCCUAGCAGAUGCAUAUAAUCUGAAUAGGAAACCAAUUUGUGCAGAUGAUACAUAUACUGAACUCUAACAUGAAGCACUUUCUGUAUCUGCAGCAAGUAUAUAUUGAACUCUGAAUAUAACGAGAUGAGCAUAUGCAUAGUAAAAUUGCAUAUUUGUUUCAGGUGUUGCUUGUUUUCAAUGGUUAGUACAGACAAGCCAGAUGUAAAUUUCCAUGUGUUGUCCUACAAGCAUGUAACUAAUCUGUGCAGAUGACACAGAGCAGCGAGCAGAGAAUCAACUCUGACAUUAAGCAUUUUUCUGAAACUGCAGCAAGUAUGUAGGGAACUCUGAAUAUCUGAAUAACUGCAGCAAGUUGUGAGCUGCAUCUUCUUGCUGACUGUCAGUAGCACAGACCUCUCAUCUAACAAGCAGCAGGCAACGUCAAAAACACACAAGUCUGAAUGAAAUAAUUUUGUUCAGAGUUUCACAUCCAGAGAAAGAAAAGCAUCUCAUACUCGAUCUUAACCAUAUCCACGGGGGACUCGGCCGGCGGGAUUCAGCAUCCAGAAGAAGCGAGAUUGGGGAUCCACCUCCCAGAUGCAGAAUCCCAAGGGGGGAACCGCCACAGCUCGCGAUCGCGGAGAAACAAAGGGGAGGGGAAAUUUUAGCUGUAUAUGGAAGAGGAGGAGCUCACUUGUGACUCCGCAAUGGCCGCAAGGUCCCUCCUUCUUCGCCAUGGCGCCCUCCCUCUUCUCGUUAUGCACCACGUCCU